rnacentral:rRNA from 1 species
CCUACGGGAGGCAGCAGUGGGGAAUAUUGCACAAUGGGGGAAACCCUGAUGCAGCAACGCCGCGUGAAUGAGGAAGGCUUUCGGUAUGUAAAGCUCUAUCAGCAGGGAAUAGAAAAGAAGGUACCUGACACUUACGCACCGGCUAACUACGUGCCAGCAGCAGCGGCAAUCCGUAGGGGGCAAGCGUUAUCCGGAUUUACUGGGUGUAAAGGGAGCGUAGACGGAGAGGCAAGUCAGAAGUGAAAACCCAGGGCUCAACCAGGGGACUGCUUUUGAAACUGUCAAACUAGAGUACGGGAGAGGGAAGUGGAAUUCCUGGUGUAGCGGUGAAAUGCGUAGAUAUUAGGAGGAAUGCCAGUGGCGAAGGCGUCCUACUGGACCGAAACUGACGCUGAGGCUCGAAAGCGUGGGGAGCAAACAGGAUUAGAUACCCCUGUAGUC